CCUGGCGAAGAUAAUGCUGCAGAACCACCUGUAACCAUUCCGAACACAGAAGUGAAAUGCAGAGAUGCCGAUGGUAGUGCAACGUACGUUUGUGCGAGAGCAGGUAAUCGCCAGGC
rnacentral:rRNA from 1 species